UACGGAGGAUGCAAGCGUUAUCCGGAAUUAUUGGGCGUAAAGCGUCCGCAGGUGGCUAUGUAAGUCUGCUGUUAAAGAGUGAGGCUCAACCUCAUAAAAGCAGUGGAAACUACAUGGCUAGAGUGCGUUCGGGGCAGAGGGAAUUCCUGGUGUAGCGGUGAAAUGCGUAGAUAUCAGGAAGAACACCGGUGGCGAAAGCGCUCUGCUAGGCCGCAACUGACACUGAGGGACGAAAGCUAGGGGAGCGAAUGGG
rnacentral:rRNA from 1 species